rnacentral:misc_RNA from 1 species
CAAAAAGAAAGAAGACAAUGACAUCAGUUUAUCUCAAGUAUUUUGAGACUGCUCCGGAUGGAAAGAGUCGGAGGUGCAAGUUUUGUGGACAGAGCUAUUCUAUUGCAACUGCUACAGGCAAUUUGGGAAGGCACCUCAGUAAUCGGCAUCCAGGAUAUGAUAAGUCUGGAGAUUCUGUCACCACUUCAGCACCACAACCCAUCACUGUGAUCAAGAAAGCUCAACCUCAGGGAAAAGCACAUGUGGAUUAUGAUCAUCUGAAUUGGUUGCUCAUUAAGUGGCUUAUCUUAGCUUCUCUUCCUCCUUCAUCCUUGGAGGAAAAGUGGUUGGCAAACUCAUUUAAAUUUCUGAACCCAUCAAUACAACUCUGGUCAGGUGACAAGUACAAAGCAG